rnacentral:rRNA from 1 species
UUAAGGAAUCAAAAUAAGGGCGUAUGGAGGAUGCCUUGACAUCAAAUGGCGAAGAAGGACGUGGCGUAGCUGCGAUAAGCCUCGGGGAGGUGCCUAGCAACCUGUGAGCCGAGGAUUUCCGAACGGGGUAACCUAAUGCAAAAAACUUGCAUUGCUCUGAUUCAAAUCAGAGAGCGCACCCGCUGAAGUAAAACAUUUCAGUAAGCGGAGGAAAAUAAAACGAAGUCAUUCCCCAAGUAGCGGCGAGUGAAAAGGGAAUAGCCCAAACCUGAUAAAAUUUUCGCAAGAAAAUUUCUACCAGGGGUUGUAAGAUGAAGACGCUGUUUUGCUUAUCCCACACGUAAUUUUUAAGUUAUGUGCGGGAUUUGCGAAAAAAGGAAGAGUUACAAAAUCUUUGGUUAGCUGAAUUGGCUGGAAAGCCAAACCUAAGAGGGUGAAAGUCCUGUAAGCGAAAAUCAAAGAUCUCUUUAGUUUUUAUCCCGACGAAAGUCGGGGCUCUAAUCUCGCAAGAGAUUGGGGUUCUUGAGUACCUCGAGGACAGAAUGCUUCGAGGGAAGCUGCCGGUACUAUUCGGCAAGGCUAAAUACGUUUGAUGAUCGAUAGUGAACUAGUACCGUGAGGGAAAGGUGAAAAGCAGGCCGGCAAGGCCGAUGAAAUAGAAUCUGAAACCAUAUGCCUACAAGGAACGAGAGCUCUAGCGUGCAUAACACACAAUUAAUAAACUAAAAUACUAAAAAACUAAAAGCUUUCAGUACUUAAGUUUUUAAGUCGUUUGUUGAUUGCGCGUUGUGCGCGCAGUGUGAUCGUGUGCCUAUUGAAGAAUGAGCCAACGAGUUUAGGUAAAUCGUUUGUCUAAGUUCUACGGAGCGGAGGCAAAGGGAAACCGAGUGUUAAAAGCGCGAUUAUAACGGUUUACUUAAGACCCGAAGCCAAGUGAGCUUGUCCUGGCCAGGAUGAAAUUCGCCGAAAGGCGGAUGGAGGUCCGAACCGGUUGGUUGUGCAAAACCUUCGGAUGAGCUGGGAUAAGAAGUGAAAAGCUAAUCGAACUUGGUAAUAGCUGGUUCUCUCCGAAAUAGCUUUAGGGCUAGCGACUGUCAUAAAUUUCUCGGGGGUAGAGCUACUGGUUCGGGAGUAAAGGGCGAAAGCUCGGCUCUCGAGUCAAACUCCGAAUACCGGGAAAUCCGGGCAGUUAGUCAGAACGUGGGGGCUAAGCUCCAUGCUCAAAAGGGAAACAGCCCAGAUCGCCAUCUAAGGCCCCUAAAUGUUUGCUAAGUGUAAAAGGUAGUAGUUAACCAUAGACAGGUAGGAGGUUGGCUUAGAGGUAGCCAUCCUUUAAAGAGUGUGUAACAACUCACUACUCGACGGUUGAUUGCGCCGAAAAUUUACCGGGGCUAAGCAAACUGCCGAAGAUGCGAAUUUCACAUAUAAUUUAUUAUUUGUGGAGUGGUAGGAGAGCAUUUCAAACGCGCUGAAGGCGGACCCGCGAGGGCUGCUGAAGCGUUUGGAAGAGAGAAUGUUGGCAUGAGUAACCGUAUAUUCUGGUAAGAAGCCAGAACCCCGAAAAUCCAAGGUUUCCUCCGUAACGGAAUUCGUCGGAGGGUUAGGCGAUCCUAAGGCAAUGGCGAAAGCCGCAGCUGAUGGGAAGCCGGUUAAUAUUCCGGCCCUUCCGUUGUUUUCGAUGGGGUGACGAAGGAUAUAAGGUUGAGCGUCUUAAUGGUUUGACGUUUUUACUGUAAGAGGCGGCAAUGAGGAAAAUCCCGUUGUCUGUUUUCAAUAACAUGUCUCGGCAGCGAGAAAAGAUCUGAUUCGUCGGGUCAAUUCAACUGAAUAGCCUUCCAAGAAAAACCUCUAAGGUUAAAACAAUGGAAAUCGUACCGUAAACCGACACUGGUGGGUGAGGCGAGAAGCCUCAGGGGAACGAGUGAUUCCUCCUUAAGGAACUCGGCAAAAAAGCGGCCGUAAGUUCGCAAUAAGGCCUCCCAGCACCAUUUUUGUGCGAUAGAAAUUUCUAUUUCUCAAAAAUGGUGCUGGGCGCAGCGAAAGUAUCUCUAGCGACUGUUUAUCAAAAACACAGCUCCCUGCAAACUCGUAAGAGGACGUAUAGGGGGUGAUGCCUGACCGAUGCGAGAAGGUCAAGCUUGGGGGUAUUAUGCAGCAAUGUGUAAUGCUCACUGAGUUAAGCCCUCGUCAAUGUCGGCCGUAACUAUAACGGUCCAAAGGUAGCGCAAUUCCUUUCCGGGUAAGUUCCGGAGCGCAUGAAUGGCGUAACGACUGGAGAACUGUCUCAAGGAGGAGCUCGGUGAAAAUGCGAUUCCCGUGAAGACGCGGGAUACCUGCAGCGGGACGAAAAGACCCCGGGAGCUUUACUGCAGCUUGAUAUUGUUUUUAGAGUUUUGAUGCGUAGCGUAGUGGGGAGACUUUGAAAUCUGGUUUUCGGAUCAGAUGGAGUCGCCAAUGAAACACCCAUCUUUAAAAUUCUAAAGACUAACCUUUUCGGAAAAAACGAAAUGGAACAGUGUCUGGUGGGCAGUUUUAAUGGGGCGUUAU